CUUCGCCCAGCUCUCUCGCUCUCCCGCGGCACGGAGGAAUAAAAUGUCGCGAAGGACGCAGAUGAAGCACACGUCUCGUUUCGUUUACGAAGGAACGGAGCAUCAGGUCAUACAUUGAAACCACGAUGCGUUUGCUAAUCGUCUUUGCUGUAUCACCUGCUGUAAUGGCUUUGCUGCUCACCGAGGCAUAUUACUUUGGCAAAUUCAAAUACUUCAGCAACACCUCUGUGCCACAAUGAGGGCCUGCGCCGUUCGGGAUGCGUGGUUCGGGAUGAUGUUUCUCAUGGAAACAAUGCCGCCGACGCCAACGCCAGAUUUGCUGCGACCUCUUUUGCGUCAAGGCAGUCCGAAGCCCCCUUGUCCGGGAACGACCAUUGGCCUGAACCAAAGCCCCUCGCUGAGUCAGCCCGGGUAGAGCGGGAAUGCCGGAGUCAAUCUAUCGGAUUAUAUGUUCAUGCUGCAACCGGCUCGGACGUACACGGCGCUGUUCCAGCAUGCAAGACCCCACCAGAGGAGUUUCUCGAAUAUGGCGACGACGAACCUUUUGAGUUUUUGUAUAUAUAUAAUGAAACCAGUCAGUUGUGCGAAGAUGUCCUCACUAAAAUGGGCAAUACCCAGG